rnacentral:rRNA from 2 species
ACUUUUAAUAAUAGAUCUCUUGGUUCUAGCAUUAAUAAAGAACGCAGCGAAAUACAAUAAGUAGUGUAAAUUAUAGAAUUUAGUAAAUUAUUAAAUCUUUAAACGCACAUUGCGCCCCUUAGUAUUCUAUAGGGUAUGCCUAUUUAAGCGUUAUUUGUACCCUUAAGCUCUGCUUAGUGUUAGGUAUUUAUUCUACUUAGGACUCGCCUUAAAAUAAUUGGCAGCUAGCAUAUUAGCCUAGAGUGCAGCACAUUUUACGCCUCUUAUUAUAGUUAUUAGCAUCUAUUAAGAUACUUUUUAAGCUCUUAACCUUAGAUUAGGUAGGGAUACCCGCUAAACUUAAGUAUAUUAAUAAGCAGAGGAAAAGAAACUAAUAGGGAUUACCCUAGUAAUAGCAAGUAAAGCGGCAAUAGCUUAAAUUUAAAAUCUGGCUCUUUUAGGGUCCAAGUUGUAAUUUGCAGAGGGCGCUUUAGCGUUAGCAGCAGUCUAAGUUCCUUAGAAUAGGACGUUACAAAGGGUAAGAAUCCUAUACGUAGUUACUAGCCUUCGCUAUAUAAAGCCCCGUUAAUAAGUUAAGUUAUUUAGGAAUAUAGCUCUAAAUAGGAGGUAAAUUUCUUCUAAAGCUAAAUACUAGCUAGAGACUAAUAGCGUAUAAGUAGAGUAAUUAAAAGAUAAAAAGCACUUUAGAAAGAGAGUUAAAUAGCACGUGAAAUUGUUAAAAGGGAAGCGCUUACAGCUAGACUUGCCUGUAGUUGCUAAUCUAGGCUUUUAUCUAGUGCACUCUUCUAUAGGCAGGCUAGUAUUAGUUUAGGUGGUUAGAUAAAGGUCUCUGUUACGUACCUCCCUUUAGGGAGGCCUUAUAGGGGAGACAAUAUACAACUAGCCUAGACUAAGGUCCGCGCAUCUGCUAGGAUGCUGGCGUAAUAGCUAUAAGUGGCCUAUCUUAAAACAUAGACUAAGGAGUCUAAUAUCUAUGCAAGUGUUUAGGUGUUAAGCCUAGACGCGUAAUAAAAGUGAAUAGAGGUAGGACCCCUUUUAGGGUGCACUAUUAACUAAUCCUAAUAUCUUUAGAAGGAUUUAAGUAAGAGUAUAGCUAUUAGGACCUAAAAGAUAGUGAACUAUGCUUAAAUAGGGUAAAGCUAGAGGAAACUCUAGUAGAGGCUUGCAGCAGUUCUAACGUGCAAAUUAAUUAUUAAAUUUAGGUAUAGGGGCAAAAGACUAAUUAAACUAUCUAGUAGCUAGUUCCUACUAAAGUUUCCCUUAGGAUAGCAGUAACGUAUUUAGUUUUAUAAGGUAAAGCGAAUAAUUAGAGGCCUAGGGGUUAAAAUAACCUUUACCUAUUCUUAAACUUUAAAUAUAUAAGAAGUCCUUAUUACUUAAUUAAAUAUAGACACUUAAAUAUACUAUUACUAGUAGGCUAUUUUUAGUAAGUAGAACUAGCGAUGCAGGAUAAACUAAACGUGGGGUUAAGGUGCUAGAAUGCACGCUUAUUAGACACUAUAAAAGGUGUUAGUUUAUCUAGAUAGCAGGAUAGUAGCUAUAGAAGUUAGAAUCUGCUAAGGAGUAUAUAAUAACUUACCUGCUAAAUAAACUAGCCCUAAAAAUAGAUGGCGCUUAAGCGUGUUACCUAUACCCCGCCGCUAGGGCAAGAUUUAAGCCCUAGCGAGUAGGCAGGCGUAGAGGCUUGUAACAAAGCCUUAGGGGUAACCCUAGGUAGAAUAGCCUCUAGUGUAGAUCUUAGUAGUAGUAGCAAAUACUUAAAUAAGAACUUUAAGGACUAAAGUAGGAAAAGGUUCUAUAUAAAUAGUAGUUAGACACAGGUUAGUUAAUCCUAAGAGAUAGGGUAAUUCUAUUUUAAUAUUAGCGCUUGCGCUACACCCUUAAAAGGGAAGCUAGUUAAUAUUCUAGUACCUAGAUGUAGAUUCUCUGCGGCAACGCAACUAAGAGCGGAGACCUUAGUAGGAGCCCUAAGAAGAGUUCUCUUUUCUUCUUAACAGUCUAUUACCCUAAAAUUAGUUUGUCUAGAGCUAGGGUUUAAUAGCUAGAAGAGUACUACACUUUUAUAGUAUUUAGUGCGCUCCUAAUAAGCCUUAAAAAUCUACUUAAAGAAAUAGUUUUUACGCUAGGUUGUACUUAUAACUGUAGUAGGUCUCUAAGGUAAAAAGCCUCUAGUUAAUAGAAUAAUAUAGAUAAGGGAAGUUAGCAAAAUAGAUCUAUAACUUUAGGAAAAGGAUUAGCUCUAUAUAACGACUUAGGUAGGUAAGGCAUCUAAAAGGUAUCCUAUACAACUCAAAGGCAUAUAGAAGUGCGCGUCUAUACAGAAAAGGAUGAGAUUCCUACACCUAUAGGUCUUGUACAAAAGGACAAGAAGAACAUGCCUAUCCUAACUAUAGGCGAGCUAUUCUCUAUAUACAUUAGUAAGUCAGGCCUUUAUUAGACUAGACUUGGCAUAGAACAAUAGGCAGGCAAUUCUGCCUUAUUAUUACACUACCCCCUCCUAUAGAGAAAGGAUAGUCCCUAUCCUUAGGAUUAGGUUCAGAUCCCUCUUUAAAGAAGAACUUUUGCAAAAUAAAUCCACCUUCACCUCUACCUUCACCUUCACUUCUUCUUCCCAGGGUACGGACCCCUAUCCCUAGCCUGCCUAUAACUAGCCCUCUACCCACUAACUUUCUCACUCCUAUAUCCCCAAUUUUUCAAUUAUUUAACCUUAAUCUAUCUAAAAUCUAGUAAGUAUUUUAAUCUAUAUAAUUAAACAGUUACUAAUCUAAAUUAGAACCUUUAGCUAUACUAGUACUAGUACCACUAGGAGUCCUCCUAGUCGCUCAUCGCGCUCUCUAUAUAAGAGCAGUUAGGGCUCUAGCUAGGGGCAGGUUUAACAAUUUUAAUUUUAAGUUAAAGAAUUCUAAGAAGUGCUAGUACUGUAUCUCCUAGAAUAAGUAUUGCAAUCUAGUAAGUGUCUAAGUCUAAUAGGGUUCCUUUACUAAUCCUAGCAGAUUCCUUCUUUU